GCGGAGGUGAACCAUGAGAAAGAGCAGGAGAUGAUCAGUACGGUGGGCCAGAAUGACGCCACACCAAAAAUCACCCUGAGUGAGUUCUCCACCCAGAAAGAGCUGAUGGAGAAAGAGCUGGAGGCCCGUGCCAAACGCGGUGUGAUCAACACCUGCGAAAGCACAAGGGAGAUCCCCAACUGCACGAGCGUCUGAAAACGUCAAGAAAGAAGGCGGAGGCGUAUUGUAAUAAUGUGUACAGAGGUAUCACAAUUUUAAAGGUUGACAGUUUUCCUUUAUGCUUUUUUUGUAAAUUCCAAACACUGUCAUUGUUAAUAGUUUUCUAAGGAGCUCAGAUUUGCAUGGGUGUCUUGUUUGUUACAAUCUGCGUGGAAAAUAAGAAUAGAUUUAACUACUCUACAAGUCACUGAAAACAUGCUUGGUUGAGAAAUUACCAAUUUACCAACAUUUGAAAUUCAAAAAAAUGUUGUAUUGGAAUCGUAAUGGAAAGUUGGGGGGAAAGCCACUUGCCCGGUGCAUUUUUGAAUUAUAUCUGCCAGUUUAUCAGUUUUGAAACUGUGUGAAAAAAAAGGUGGCUUUUAGCAUCAAAAACUUUGCAUUUUUGUUGGGUCAGAACGUAUUUAUGCCAAGUUCAUUUAACUAUUCAAACUGAUUUCAAACAUUGCGAAGAGUGUUUUUAGUGACUACAUUAACUUAAUUUUUCUGUAGGUCAUCUUGUUUUUUUUAUAUUUGUCAGAACUUGAACGGAGGGGACAAAAUUGCAGCUAAAGCAUGCAAGAAAAGCCAACAGUGUUUAUAUCCCUCUUUAUAUUACAGCUUUGCAUUCUUCUUGUAAGCAAUCCUGCUCUGCAAUCUUCUAAAUUAGUGGUUGUUGAAACAUUUCAAGUUUUAAUUGCACAUUUAUCACACUUAUCGAGCCUUCGUCUAAAGGUGAAGAGAUAUGGACUAAAAGGUGAAUUUUUCAGUCAUGAAGUGAGAUACCUUUCCAAAAGCACUGUGAUAAAAUGUAAAUUUGAAGGCAAGCUUUUUGUACUUCUAUAAAGAGGGAAUAUAGAGUAACUAUUAAGAAUAACAUCUCUAUAGUAAAGCUUUUUUUGGAGCUCAAACUUAAGUAAAAUCCAUGAAAUAUCAAACGUUGAGAAUGUUUUGUGGAAUAAAUCCAACCCGAUCUCACGGCAAUUCGUACAUUUUUCACAAGUUGGCUUAUUCGUACGAAUUCAUAAGACCACACUCGUACAAUUUCAUACGAUUGUUGCCAAAUCGUACGUAUUUUACAAGUUGCACAAUUCGUAUGAAUUUGUACGAAUGACCUACACCUAACCCCGCCCCUAAACCUAACCGUCACUGGGGUCGUGUAAAAUCGUACGAGUGAGGUCGUACAAAUUCGUACGAAUAAGCCACCUCGUAAAAUAAGUACGAAUUGGUCGUGAGACAGCGUUGAAUAAAUCUCUUGAUAUACGAACACAAGAGAGCUUGAUAUCUUUUUGGAAAAUGUUAUAAAAUGUAACUUUAUCACGAACAAACCUUCGGCUAAAUGUAAUUUAUUGUAAGUUCCUCAAAUAUAUACUGUCCAUCUGUAUUUUUUUUUCUUUUCUUUUUUUUUUUUUUUUGUAGAUAAAUGGCCUACGGAAUCAUUUUGCUUCAUAAGUGAAUGCCUUACAAAUAAGAAUGCCUUUUGAAUAAUGAGUAUUCAUAAUUUAGAAUCGAAAAUUAAUUUAUAACAGUUUUAACAGUUAACAAAGCCAUUUUUAUUUAAUUUUUUGCACACAUUUUUAAGGUGUCGCAUCUCCCAGGGAUUGAAAAAAGCAUUGAACUGUACAAUAUUCUCAAGUUUUAAUUUCUUUGUAUAUACAGCAAGUGUAUUUCAUUUCAUAUCCUUAUACUGUAAAUAUAAUAGUGAAGACUGAAGUCCACUGAACACAGUCUGCUAUACAUUUCAGAAAGUGGGUGUUACGAAUCCAAACAGUGAUUCCUUGAUGUGCUGUAAAUAAGCCAGUGCUGUAAAUAGUUUUUUUAUUUUAUUUUAUUCAUCCAUUGUGCAAAAAAAAAAGAAAAAGAAAAAGAAAGGUAAAGACGUAUUGCAUAUGCUUCAAUGUUGCCAUUUUGGAUUUUGACCUCAGAUUUAAAGUCAAACCUAUAGAGAGCAGUGUUUCGGUAUAUGGUUAGACAUUUUGUAUUGGAGUUGAUUUCCUGUGUCACACAAAAUGGAUAUAAUUCAUGAAUAAUAAGCAGGUGGUUUCUUAGAUUCCAUUGUGAAUGUAAAUGUAUAGCAAUAUAGCAGAAUAUUAGUGACUUUGGCCAAAAUAUCUCCCCAAGCAUUCAAAUCCUGUUCUACUCAAUUAGUGACAUAUUACAAACCGAAACAUUGUGCUUCAUCGUAUCCAUGUAAAAUAUAUGUUUUAUGAAUACAGAGCAAAAUUAUUAUUUUUUCCUAUCUGAAACCUAACAAUUUGAUGUUAAAUGAUCAAAACAAGUAAAUUAUGAAAUCUAAAUGGGUAAGAACCAUGUUUUCCUGGUAUUAAACUAGUGUUAACAAGUGUUGAAAUCAUUGUUUUUAUUAUUUUUUAUCAUUUUAAAUAACACAUGCACCAUACAUGAACUCUAUGUUUUGAAGCUUGGUGAGCUGUCUUACAGAGGACCUUUGUUUUGAAACCGUCUGCGUAGGCAGCAUCUGUGUGUGUUAUAAAAUAGUGCUCCUCACGUCAACAGUGAUACACUAAUAAGCUUAUAAUUAUUAUUAUGAUUAUUAUUAGAUUGAAAUAAGAACAGUAUUGCUUGUAUUCAUAAUAACAUCAAUGUUGGCUGAUAAAUGACCCCCCCCCCC